GGUGAGAGGGAGAAACCUGCCGCCGCUCGCCGCCUCUUUGUCUGCUCCGGGACUGGGAACAAAAGGGGGAACUCUGAUGAACUCUCUCUCCUCCCCUCUCCCCCGGACGCCCGGGUAUCUCCCUCUCGCAACUUUGCCUACGCGACUUUCUCUGCUGUCAGGCCACAAAAAAAGUGUCCUAGAGCCUCGCCGACUGCAACAAGGGAAACAGUGUCUCUCCAAAGUGCGACCAAGUGGGGAAGAAGGUGUGAUUCUUGUGAGCCUCUAAAAGCAUCAUGCAGUGGCUGGAGGACCUCUGGAGUUGACCUUCUGUGUCCUGCAGCGUUCUCACUGGAUCUAUCAGGGGGCCACCUGGAGUGCUGGUGCAUCAGACCCUUCCUGGAUGGGAAGCCACCAAACCCCUUCAAUUGGAGUUGCUUCAAAGUUACCUUGUUGGGAUUUGGGGCAAUGCCUUCCUCCUGUGGAUUACUACACUCUGGUGACUGGGAGACCUCCACCUGGAAAGCACCCAGGGGACGGCGGGCGAAGAGCUCACACAUCGGCCUAUCCAGGGAACCCUGCUGAAGAGAGGGUGUGCCGAGUCUUCCCCAGGGGCUCCCAAGUCCGCCCGCCUCACCCUCUGGGCGCCCAUACCUUCUCUGGGUGACAUUUGUUCCAGUGACAUACUUGGACUUCAGAGACCGCAGCCUUCUGAAAGCACAGCCUUCAGGCUGGGAAUUAAAUAAGAGCUAUCCAGUUGUGGUGAGCCUCUGAGUAGAGAUUUCUUGCACAUAUACCUGACAAGCUGUGCCCGUGAGAAUGAUCUCCAAAGCUGAAUCCUGUUUCCGAGUCCCCUCCGUGUGGCCUGGAGCAGCAGCAGCAGGCUCCUCCCGAGAAGAUGGCUGGAUGGAUGUCACAGGCCCGCGUGCCACUGUACAUGGAGCCUUCCCCACGGACAUAAGCUCUACAAAAGCAAGGCCCGUGCCCCAGGAUGACUGAGAGCACGACAGACCUUUCCAGGCCUCUGAGUGGACACUCAGCCUUCACACAGAGGCGCCGGCCCUUAAGCCAUUCAGAAUCCCCAGCAGCUGCACCAGGAAACAGCUGGAGAAGACUCUGCCCAGCAUCAACUAGGCGGCCUCGUGGGAGAGGAGAAGCUGCCUCGAUAGGCUUUGGUUGCAAACCCAGGAGUCACGACUGCGGGGACAGAUCUAGCAAUGCCACAGAGUUAAAUUUUCCUUUGGUUGGAUCUGGUAGGUUUUCCUGGGAUGAUUCUUUAUGGCGCCCUGUUCUUGACCUUGGUGUCCGUCACCUGGGCUCCCAGAACCUGCUCCUGCUUCAGCCUACAGCAGGACCUCGAUCUGCAUUUACACCCCUGAUUCAGGCCUCUUUAUUCUGCUUUGAGUGAGCACAGAUUCCGUCUCCUCCUGGCCACUGGGGUCCCUCACCUGUUUCUCCUGGUCACUUGUUGUGUCCCUGUAACCCCAAGGAGACCUGCACCCCCUAAGCCAUUCUUUCUACCAUUUAGUAGACAGAACAAGCACUUGGUUACUCUUCCAUUCUCUCCCAUUCAAGACCAGUGUGUUAAAACAGUGGAACUACACAUCGAGCCAGCCCACCAUGUAGACCCAAAUCGCCUCCAUGUCUCCGUGACCUCUCCUCCCGCCCACCUCCAGACUCUCCGGCCGUUGCCCUCAUUGCUGGUCCACCAUGGCGUGCAUAUUGCUGUGCUGCUGAGAAAUGCUCCGUGCCGUCCGGCCACUGCGGGACAGGCUGGGAGGUCGAGGGAGUCCAGGCUGCCCUGUACAAAUGGCACUUAGUUGUCCGUCUUGAUUCCAGAGUGAACACUGGGACCACCCCCCACCCCAUUUAGGGCAAGUGCAAAUGUAGUUUUAGGUUCUUACUGAAAAGGAGAAGGAUAUGAGUGCAAUUUCUACAUAAGUUGCUGAGAAACUAAAGCAAUAAAAUUCUAAGCAUUGAACUUGUCUUUAAUAUCCAACAGACUAAUACAUUUAUCUUUUGUGCUUUUUUAAAAAAACAAUGUUUUUAAAACCAUUGUGUUUAUUCACACCAUUGACUUGGGCCAUUUAUGUCUUAAGUAAAACCCGUAUGCCCUUAAUAAUAACGGUCAAUGCUCGAUAUGCAUUUUGACAUACACAUUAUAAUUCGCUGUAAUUGUUGCUAUGGUCACUUAAAAAGGCUCCAGUAAACCGAUACGAGGAUCACACAACUACUGACCUCUAAGUAACUACUAACGUCCAUUUUUCACCCUCUAGAGCCCAGGUUCCAAGAAACAAAACCAAGGGAAUAGACUACGUGGCCUCUGAAGUCCCCUUAGCUUAUCAUGUUUUAGAAUCUUGACUUCAUGGGCACUUCUUGCCUCAUUAAUCUCUCUUGCAGAAGAAAACGAGUGUCUGGUAACAUCUGAGCAUGUUUAUAAGAAUUGGAAGACUGCUGGGGUAAAGUGGCUGUUUCCUUCUCUCUAUUGAAGAUGACAUCAUCCUGAGUAUCUGGACAGGAUGCAUCUGAGCCUCACCUGUCCUGUGUGGUUAAAAAAAACAAAACAAAACUGGAUAAUAAGAUUUUCCCUGUUCAUUCAGAGCCAAGAAUGAGUUGAAAUUGGAUGGGGGUUGCAUCAGAGAUCUUGUAAUUUGAAAUGGACAAAGAUAAUCUCAUCAAGCUACUGAGGUUAGUAGAGCGUACACCUACUGUUUGCUUUCUGCACGCAGGGCGUUCUGCCCCGGGCUGACUGAGUGUUGAGUCGUACUGUUAUCCCCAUUUUUCAGAAAAGCCAGCUGAGGCUGACUGAGAUGUGGCUUCCCCACUGGCCUGCAGAGGAGGGUUGUGGAGCCUGACCAAUGUGUCCCGGUGACCACUGAUCUUGGGCUGCUGGCACUGUGAUCGUUCCUGCCGAUGCCAGGUGUCGGAUUGGAAUACCAUUUACAGGGUUGGGAUCCACCUCUGUCUCUGUCACUUGGGUCACGUAGAGCGGGUGCUGAAACUCACAGCCAGAUCUUUGCUGGUGUUUUGACUUAAUUAAAUGUUGAAUAAUAACGAAGGCGCACUUCUAUAGGAAGUGUGAAAACACUGUUUACACCUGACAAGAUCAGCUCCUUGUUGUGUCUGUCAAGGUAUGAGCAUGCAGAUUGUGAAGUGCUAGACGGAGGCAUGAGCUGUCAGCUUUCCAUUCUUAAAGUCAAGGACCAGUAGUACCCACAGAGAAAAAUGAGUAUUUUUUUCAGUUGUACUUUACCUUCUUGAAUACUCAUGGGGUGGCCUGAUUCCCGUUUUUAACACAAUUCCUUGCCUGUUUUUACAUCCUAAUAUGGUGUGCAAAAUGGUCUAGUUUACGGAAAAUCAAUUGAGCAAAAUUUCAAAAUGCCGACCUUUAGAUCUUUUACCUUGUUCUAAAGAUAGAUCGUAAUUCUAGUUUCAAUUUUUUUUUUCAGGAUCUUAACAUCAUUUUGAGCCAGGGUUCAAUGGUCAUUUUUUUUUUCCUUAAAAAAUUUUUUUUUUAUUUGCCCUGGGGAUCACACCAUGGCCUUGUGCGCAGCUGACAAGAGCUCUCUACUACUGUUCCACCCCCAACCUGAAUGGUCACUUUUUAUUCCUACCAAUUUAGACUCUGAGAGCCCUGGUUUCCAGUAUGAUGGUCCUUAAGGAAACGGAAUCACAGUAGACUGAACCUUCAGUUCCUCGAUUGCGGUAGCCUCAGUUGAGAUGUUUGGUGACAUGGUUGCUGGGCAGCCAGGGUGGAGAGGCUGGUAUGGAGCACUUCUAUCACUGCAAAAAGUCCUGCGGGACAGCAGUGCUCUAGGUCGUUUUAAUGGUUUGCUUUUGAUCCUCUGUUUAUUUGGGUGAAAACAUUGUGAAUCCGGUAUCACCCGCCAGACCUCAUAGCUGGAACAGGAUCUGGGGUACGGAGUGUGCUGGGGAACUCUGGGAGGGCUGCUGCUUACGUCAUGCGCCAUAGAACACCUAACAGCGAAGACCACUGUAAUUUUACCUUGUUUCCAACUCUGUGUUCUAAAUAAUUAUCAUUUUGUUAAAUACACCGACGGUGGUGCUGGUUUUGAUGGGUUGUACGUUUGAUGGAUUAAUUGGGUGAGAAGCAGCCUCAAACUCAGACUAAUUUAGUAUAAAAUCGAACACAGGGAGUCUUAAGUUACAGAACGACUUGUUUAAAGUUCACUCUGCAGACAGGAGACUGUCCUCUAGAAAUUCACCCUUGCGGGCCGGGGAGCUGAGCCCUGUCUGGUUGCUGUCUGUCCAAGUUCCUCAAGGCAAAGAAAGGAGACAAUGGAGCCUUGUUUUUUGACAGCUUGAUUGAAUGUAUUCAGUCCCAAGUUUUGAAUAAUCUGUUUAACUGGAGAUAUUUUGCACAGUGAAUACAAUUUCUUUGGUAUGAAAUUUAAUCCUCAUAGUAUCUUCAGCAUAAUUUUAAUGCUUGCCAGAUCUCUCUAUCUGCUACCCAGCGCUGGGUUGGUGUCCAAAUGCCUUUACUUGUUAAGAAAACCUCUACUCUGCAUUGCUGAUUUGUUAUCGGUAGUACCAGCUAGGAAACACAGAAAAUAUAUGUGUUUUAAAAAGUAAGGAAGAUGAUUGGUUUCCGUGUUCCUCUGGAUUGCUUCUCUGGAAGCAUACCGUCUUUGAUCCAUUUUCUCUCCCAACUCUUAUGUUUCUCAUUUACUGAUGAACACUAUAUAAAAGACAGUGUACAAACUGAACAAUGAGCUCCAUGGUAUUAAAAGAACAGGCCACCACCAAGCGCGCCUGUGAGAUUAAAAAUGAAUUUGGUGAACCAUUUUGUUAUUUUGAUUCGGCUGGCUCUGACUGUUCUUCAACAUCUUUUGCAAUUAUAAAUAUCUUCACUUAAAAUGGCGUGCUAUAUGUAUAAGUUUUAUUAUGAAGCUCUUUUUUUUUUUAAGCAGACCCCCAUGUAUGUCACAACCACAUCACCUCGGAGUCCUCCCAUGAGCCUUCCUUUAAGAGGUCUAUUUAUGGAAAAGCCUAAAGCGGCAGUGAGUGGGUGGGUUGGUGCCUCCAGUGAUAGAAUCUCAGCCUCCUGUUUAUCAUCCUUCACAGUCUAUCCCCCACCCCCAGAGCUCUCUUGGGCUGAGACUUAGCAAGCUUCUGUAGUCAAUCAAGAGUGCCUGCCAGCGUCAGUCCUGCAGAUGGACUUCACCACACUGGCGAGCCUAAGUUCUCUCUGCUUAAAUUACAACCUAAGAGACUGUGGUUGCCGUGCUUGAGAUUGGCUCUUCUGAAAGUGGCAAGUUGCUUAGGCUGCGUUUGCUGCCUCGGCCAGUUAGAUUUUUAAAUAGCUUAGAGGGUGUAGUCGGUACAAUCAUCUCUGUUCACCUCUGUGUCCAGUGGUUUCCCAGGACUCAAAUAGCCCCUGCGUCACUCUUCCUGAAGAAAGGGGAGGAAAGGCUUUCUUUUCGCAGGAGGUUGGUCUUUUAAAGUUUUGUUUUGCUCAGGUGUUCAAAACGGAAAUGUAAAAUGGUGGGGAGGGUGCUAGGUUCCCAAGUGGCAGUUGGCCCUCGGUGAACCGAGCCCGGAUACUUUCUGAACAUAAGGGUGUGGAGGAGCAAAUGAAGGAAGAGAGCAAAAUGCUGAUGGCCCGUCACUGAAAUGGCAUCGCUGGGCUUCUAGAAACUUCUCAUUGCGUGUAAAGGAAGCUGGGAGGCUACGAGGAGGUCUCAUGGUGUGGCUUCAGAAAUGCCAGGUCCUUGGCUCCUCAUCCCUGCUGGGGAUCACGAUCUGGGACAAAACAAGUGUAUAUUUCUAUUUUCUAUUUUUAUGUCUCUUGAUUUUCUAAUCUUUCCUAUUUGGCCAGCUUCUCUCUGAGAACAUAUUGUACACAUGUUCUGGGCCGUUUGAAGGCCCUCCGAGAGCCGGGAGUUGAUUGAAAGCUCUCAGUUCUAUGAAGUGGGUGGCCAGAGAACUGGGGCUGAACAGCUGGCACACACUCCUUGAACUUUUGUCAUUUAUAAAUUAUUUUCCAUGCCAUCUGGAGCAAGAAUGUUGCCAUGGCUUAGAGCUGCUCUGGGUGGGGUGCGCUCAGACAGCUUGCUCGCUGCCGCAGACAGAAUCUGCUCGCUCGGAGGCCUGAGGACGCGGGUACCUGUGAGUGGCCCCUGUAACUGUCCUGUGACAGAGGCCACCUCCACCGACAGUUUUCCCUCCCUCUCCCUGUUCCAGUGACUCCCUCCGGCCUGCCUCCAGCUCCAGUGGAAAACACAUUAAUCCCAGAGUCUCUGUGAGGCUUCCUGUUGGAUGACAUAAUCAGAAAACUCUCCUUACAUCGCCCUUGGGGUUGCUGUCUGGAGGCUUUGUCGUCUUGGUGGGCGUAAGGCAGCCAUCAGGAAAAUCAGCACAGACCGUAAACUGGGGGCCUGAAAUGCGUUCGUAUAACGUUAAAAGGAGUAAAGCCGUGGCAGGUCUGAGGCUGGGAGGAGUGGCAUUAAUCUGCAGAUUCUCGCUGGCAUUCAGAGGCACUGGCUGGUGACCAGGGUGCAUAUGGCAGGAGAGGCUGCCGAGGUCCCAGCAGGAGGUAUUUGAACUGCUCCGGAGUAAGCUGUUAGCCUCCACCUCCUGGAAAAACACCAGGAGCAGCGGGUUUGGUGGUGUGGGUUUUAGUGGGUUCCUCCCUCCGCCCCCUCUGGGGCAGCCUGUUUACUUAAUGAGUUUCGCCCUGGGUGUUGAUCACAGGAAGCUGGGAACAAGGAAAUUCGUGGGAAGAGUCAGAAAUAGAAGAUGAGGAGACAUUUCAAGAUGAGAACAGCAGAAGAUGGUAUCAUGUAAAGUGGGUUUCAAAGUUCUGAGGAUAUUAGGAGGCAAAAGUUUAGUAGCUGUGAAUUAGUUAGAAGGAACUUUGGUACGAAAGUAGAAGCGAGCGAGCGUAUUCUGUUUGGGUGCCAGAGGGCAGGCGCAGGUUUACAAGUUUAGAAGCUAUUGGCAUAGGAAAUGGAGCAUAUGCUUAAAUAUGGAUUUCCUGCGCUAUUUGGAGAAUCUUGCCUAUUUUCUGAUGCCGUUUUGGUAGGCUGCCCUACCCCUCCAUUUGGUUGGCUGGAUGGAGUUUCUCCUACCUUUGGAAAUCCAUGCCCUGUGGCACUUGGUCAAAAUGAGAAGGGAGAACAGGUCCCUUAGGAAAAUUCACAAGUUCUGGACACAAGCGACCUCCAGGCAUCUCCUUCUGCACAGACUCCAAAGAUGCUGCUUGGCAGAACUUCACGGAGAGGGUGAAGAGCAGAGAGAGAGGUCUUUAGCCCCAGAGUUGAAGGCCUGGGAAUGGUUGCCACCAUUUCUGCUUCCUGGUGUCCAGAAGGUCCCUUGGGUUUUCCAGAUUGUAUCCCAAGUAGUGUUGAAUACCUUGUACAGAUGCGACCCCUGUGGUCGGGGAGUCUCUGCUAAGAUCGUGUGUGUGGUGUAUACAUGGCUAUCGUGAACUUUUUUUUUUUUUUUUUUGAAUAACUACUCCAUAAACUUGGAAUUCUGGGAUUUAGGCUCUGUGAUCUAUUUUCCUGUGUGGUGUCGUAGUGAUCAUAUGAUUGAGCUGUUAGCGUUCACUUUAAAAUAUGUUUAUUUAGCCAUCAUAUACCUUACACUGAAUACUGAACCCCAGGGUUGAAAGGAUCUUAAAUAUCACAUCUGCUGGAUACAUCUCUUUCCCCAGUGGGUUGUGACCUACAGAGAGAAGGGAGAACUACAGCCCUUUUUGUUCUAGAUUACAAAACGCAGGUUGGUGGGAUGAGCUAGCUCGCCAUCCUGGAAGUCGGGCGGUAUGUUCCAGGACCUCCGUGUGAACGGGCCCACCCCAGUGCUCUGCCCCAAGUCGAUUCUCAGAUCCUGCUUCUCCCUUCUGCUUGUCAAGAUUUUUUUUUUUUUGAAUCUUGUAUCUCUAGUUGUUGCCUGUCUCAGAUUUUGGUCAAAAACGUACAGUUGAGACUUGAGACUUGAGGAUAAAUUCCAGCUCUGCGAUUUUCUGGCUUUGUUACACCAAACGAGUCCUUUAACUGCCCUGAGUCUCGGUUUCCUCUCUUCCAAAAUGGAAGCGUGGACGUCCUGACUCCCUUUGGAAUAGCUGUGAGGGUCAGGGACACUGGAUGUAGAGACAGUGGGGACAGAAGGGAGAGGAGAAAGCACCACACAGAUAUUGGAUUUUAUUUGUUCGUAUGAAUAUAAGACAGAUAUUCCUCAGGCUUCAUCCAGGUCCUUGGUUAAAAAAUAAAAAGGUGACACAGAGGGACCCAGGACAAGGCCCCACCUAGGGACCUUCCCUACACCGCCCGCCACUGGAGGCCCACAGCAGGGCUGGUUGGCCCUCUCGCCACUGGACUGGCGUCCUCCUGAGUUUUAAAAUCUUGUCCUUUAAGUUGUCAUGAGAGCCCUUGUCACAUUCCCCACUCACGUCCAAACAUGUGCUGGCCACUGUAUUUCCCUGGUGUGCCCAGCUGCUCGCCCUCCAGAGGAGGAGAGGCUCUGCCCUGUCCCUGCUGACCCCGUGCCGCCUGCCAGGACUGCUGCCUGCUUCUCUGGAGCCGUCACAAACCGUCCUUUGAACGUGCUGCCAAGAACCUGGUCCAGGAUCAACAGCAACAGCCGCGGUGGCCUGGAGGGUUGGGACUCUCCCUUUUGGUUUUUCUUUCUUGUCUUCUUGAAAGUGGGACCUUCCUUUCCCUCAUCUCCAGUCCUCUCGUUGUCUUUCUCCGUCAGUAUUUACAAGAAAGGCAACCGAAGAGCAGUCCCUCCUGUCCACAUCCGGGUGCCCCCCACAGGGCUGCUCUGGUGGCUCCACUUAGCAGCCGUGCCGUGGGCUCAUGAUUAGAAAGUCCUCCUGGUUAAAGUCUGGGAAGGCCUUGGAAGUGUGUUCUUAAAUAUGAUAAAUGCAUCUUUGAACCCAGUGCAGUCCAUUACUCGGCCAGGGGGCGCGUUUUGCAGAUUUGGAGAUGAGUAAACAGCCUCUUGACAGCUUUGAUAAAGUCUUCAAGUGCUGAGCUGGAAUUUGGAUUUAGACCUCCCGACUGCAGAGCCUCUGAGUUGCCACUGUAUCACCAUGUCACUCUAAGUGAUGUUUUCCAUUUGACUUUGGCUUUUCUUUUACUUAUCAUUAAGAUGACCCUGCAGAGUGUGACCUUUAAUGUGGGCUGUGUCAGUGGGAAUUGCUUUAAUAAAGCUGUAAUUUAUUAAUAAGUUGAGGGAAUGUUGACUUGGGCUUCUUCAUGAAUUUUACAGAAAUUUACUGAUGAAAACAGUGCUGUCUUUAUGGAUUGCUAGUCACAAGUAGAGAUUUUGCUUUGUUUAUUUCAAAUGAAUUGAUAGUUCCUUCCUCUAAUACUUAUCAAUCAGUGCAUAGCAGUUUCCAUUGGUAAGGAUACCGCACCAAAAGAAAUCAAUUCUCCUUUGUCAUUUUGACAAGAAUGAGCCAUAAAGGUGGUGAUACGAUAGGAAAGUACCCACAGGCUAAGGCCCAAAGUAAUUUUAUAAAAAUCAAAAUUGUCCCAAGAAUAUUUUGCAAUCCAUGGUAACAAAAGGCUUUGCCCCUGGUUCCUAGAGUGAGGAUUCGCUUCUUUCUAGUAUAAGACGAUGUCAUUGCAACACUCUGGUCCCACUGCAGAAGGGCUCAAGAUCCUAGAUGCUCUGUUUCCCAAGGCUUGGGUUGGAAUCUAAACCAUUUUAAUAGGGAACUAUAUAAGAAAAACCUGGUGUAAUGCCUGAAAAAUGUACAGUUAGCGACCUGGUGCAUAAGGCUGUCUGCUGGCUCCAAGACAGGAUUUCAGUGGGAGUGGCCCAAAAGGGUCUUUGCAAAGGAGAAUUCUCCCUAACACGGGCUGGCCCGUGGGAAGUUUGCACUAGCAGGAAUCGGGUCAGACCACAGCUCUGUGUACACGGUGUUACUCAGAGCAUGUUAGAAGGCAGCAGCCCCCAGAUGUUGCAUCCAUGGGUCUUAUCUGAAAAGGUCACAGCUGGCACAUGAAUGUGGCCAUGAAUGAGGCCAGAAUUAGGGCAUCCCAGCUCCAGGGUACUCACGGGAAAUUCCCUUUAAAAGUUUGAAAAUUAGGCAUUGAAUGUCUUCUCUGCUUAGCUGUGUGAUACAAUGUAUUCAGGAAAAUUUAUACUUCUUUUGGCUCAUGUUUAUCUAUCCCAAGGCUGAACAAUUUUAAACCGCUUUUGGCCCCUGCCUUGGAGGAUGCUGCCUGGCUUUUGAUUUAUAUAACUUAUGUAGGUCAAAUCCUUGACUAGAAAGUCCUCUAAAUAAGGUUUUACUUCUGAAUCUCAGGGUUUAAAUAGAUUUGGAGGAAAAUGUGCUUAACUAAAUGGUUUCCCUAAAGUGAGUAAGGCAGUAAGAACUGAGUAUUUUUUCAUUUGGAACUUUUUUUAAUAUAUAUAUAUAUUUUUAGGUUACCAUCUUUUUAGAAACACAAAUGUAGUUUUAUAUGCUUGUUUCUCCUAGG